rnacentral:snRNA from 1 species
GUGUUUGCUUAGGCAGCAUAUAUACUAAAUUUGGAACAACGCAGAGAAGAUUAGCUUGGCCCCUGCACAAGGAUGGGACACAAAUUUAUGAAAUGUUCCAUUUUUCU